UACGUAGGUGGCAAGCGUUAUCCGGAAUACUGGGCGUAAAGCGCACGCAGGCGGUCUUUUAAGUUUGACGUGAAAGCUCCCGGCUUAACUGGGAGAGGUCGUUGAAUACUGGAAGACUUGAGGCAAUGAGAGGGGUGUAGAAUUCCCGGUGUAGUGGUGGAAUGCGUAGAUAUCGGGAGGAACACCCGUAGCGAAGGCGGCACACUGGGCCGGUACUGACGCUGAGGAGCGAAAGCCAGGGGAGCAAAGCGGG
rnacentral:rRNA from 1 species